NNNNNNNGUCAAGCACUAUUGACCACUCACAGCUCUCCACACAAGACAGGCACCACCCGUGCCCACAGUAUCACACACACACACACACACAACACAACACACAACAGCACACACACACACACCCACACACAACACAGACACACGACAUCACACACAAACACACACACACACACACCACAGCACACACAGACCACACACACACACACACACAGACACAACACACACACACACACACACACACAGACACAGACACAGACCACACACACAAACACACACACAACACACACAACAACACACACCCACACACACACACACACACACACAACACCACUACAGACACACCCACACACACAACACACACACAACACCAGAACACACACACACACACACAACACACACCAAAACACAACACAACACACACACACAACACACACACACACAGACCAGACACCAACACACACACACACACCACCACACCAACAACACACACACACACAGACACCGACACACAACACACACACACACACACACAACCACAGACACACACACACAAACACACACAGACCAAACCACACACACCACACAGACACACACACACACAAACGACACACAUACACACACACACACACACACAGACACAGACACACACACAAACACCACACACACAUACAACACACAGACCACACACAGCAUACCACACACACAUACACACAACAUACCACAAACACAAACACAACACACCACACACAACAUACACAACAUACCAACACACACACACACAACACACAUACACACACACACACACAUACAGCACACAUAGCAGCACACACACAUACACACAGCACACAACACAUACAAACACACACACACACACAUACAGCACACAUACACAACAACAUAACACACAACACACACAACACACACAUACACCACACACACAAUACACACGACAUACACACACAACACACACAUACACACACACACACAAACACACACAACCACACACACACAACACACGACAUACAAAACACAUCCUCAGUUUUCAUAUAUAAGCUUUAUU
rnacentral:lncRNA from 1 species